CGCGUAGGCGGGGAGGUAAGUCGGGUGUGAAAUCCCUCGGCCCAACCGAGGAACGGCGCCCGAGACUGCUUCUCUUGAGUCCCGGAGAGGAAGGUGGAAUUCCCGGUGUAGCGGUGAAAUGUGUAGAGAUCGGGAGGAACACCGGUGGCGAAGGCGGCCUUCUGGACGGUGACUGACGCUGAGGCGCGAAAGCGUGGGGAGCAAAC
rnacentral:rRNA from 1 species